CUAUAUAAUUCUCCGGCGAGGUAACAACAGUUUCCACAUCCUCUAAAAUUCAAUGGGAUCUGUCUAUAAUGGAGAGAUUUACGAAUAGGGUCACAAGAGAACUUCUUUUAAUAGAGUUGCCCCCCCCCCCCAUUUGGAGGAAGGAUAAAGGUUUGGCAUUCCGUAGAACACAAAGCUUUUCUCCUCAUCCUCGCUGCUUCUCUUUCUCUACAUCUGGGCCUCACCCAGAACCCGUAUUAAGAAUGAUCUCCUUUUUUCCUUUCUCGGUUCUACAAGUAUCUGGUUUCUCGUUAAAGGAGGCAGUUUUGCGUGCUUCUUGGAGUGGAUGGAUUGUGAUCAGAAGGGCACAGCUUUAUUGGCAAGAUGCGAUUUUGAUCUAAUUUUUGAGAUGGAAUAUUGUAGGCGGGGAAAAAGAUGUUUUGGUUCCAUGAAGAAGGCAAAUCAAAUAUCACAAUGGCCAAUCUUAAGAAUUUCUCAGAUAAUUUGACUGCUACUAAGAAGAUCGGGACAAUUCCAUGAAGAUUCAAGAUGUGUUGGACUGUAUGAUUACUUUGAAUCAUUGCCGCGGCCGCAAUGCUCCUUGUGGCCUUUCCUGGAUUCUAUGUUUGGGAAGCGACAACAGGUCAUGACCUGCUGGUAUGGUGUGGAAGUUUGAAACGGAGAAUAAAACCAUUCUGUUGGUUCCAAAUGUUUAGCCACCAUAUCUAGUGCCAUAAUGUUGCAUGUUACCGAGAAUAUCAUAGACCUUGGAGGUGCAGAUUAGCACAAGAGCAAAGCGGAAACAAAGCCCCCCUCCAAGUGAUGUUCGUGAUUCGUGAAUAAAUUACAAAUGUCGGAUUGCUCUGGAUGACAAAUUUUCUGUGGUGAUACUUUAUUUCCCAACUGAUUAACCAUUUGCUGUGAUACUCUCUUUCCUUUAAGAACAAAUUUCUGUAAGUUAUGUGCCGCGCUAUGGUUAUGGCAG